rnacentral:lncRNA from 1 species
CUCCAAGCAAAUCUUCUCUUGAGGACAAGUAAGGAAUUUCACCAGUUGAACAAACUAGACGUGCUCCAGACACCAAGCACACAUUUCUUUCAAGCAUUGGAUGGAACAGCACAGAAAAUGCUGAGAGCAAACACUGCAGGAAGAAAUUGAUCAAACCAAACAGCUGCACACUGCCUGUUUUAUACUUGCUAUACAAUAAAGCACUGUACCAGUGAAGAGGCAUUGGCAGAGCAGAUGUCUGAAGCUGCACCUGGGGUGAGAUCUUCUCUUCCUUGGAAAAAAAGAAGCAUCCAAACAUCCUGCUAUCUGGGCAGUGUGAACACAUGGAUUUUCAGCCUCAACAUAUCACAUCUAAUGCACUGUUCUGUACAAUAUGGUAAAUAAAAAAAAUGCAGGGUGUAUACAAUUUGUCUUAGCUCUAUAAAAUGAGGCAAAAUGCUUGUGAUCUGGUUAUGCAAAGAAAAUUAAAAUGUUUUAUAAAACCCCUUCUCCUUCUCAGAAAGGACUGGAAAGACCACUUUGUUUAAUUAAGCUAUUU